CAACCUACCUUGUAGAUUGGGAUAACUCCGGGAAACCGGGGCUAAUACCGAAUAAUCCAUUUUGCUUCAUGGCGAGAUGUUGAAAGACGGUUUCGGCUGUCACUACAAGAUGGGCCCGCGGCGCAUUAGCUAGUUGGUAGGGUAAUGGCCUACCAAGGCGACGAUGCGUAGCCGACCUGAGAGGGUGAUCGGCCACACUGGGACUGAGACACGGCCCAGACUCCUACGGGAGGCAGCAGUAGGGAAUCUUCCACAAUGGACGAAAGUCUGAUGGAGCAACGCCGCGUGAGUGAAGAAGGUUUUCGGAUCGUAAAACUCUGUUGUAAGGGAAGAACACGUACGAGAGUAACUGCUCGUACCUUGACGGUACCUUAUUAGAAAGCCACGGCUAACUACGUG
rnacentral:rRNA from 1 species